GCUCCCGUGGCGCAAUGGACAGCGCGGCCGGUUUCUACCCGGCUGGUUGGGGGUUCGAAUCCCUCCGGGAGCG
rnacentral:tRNA from 1 species